GCCACUGCACUCCAGCCUGGGCGACAGAGCAAGACUCCGUCUCAAAACAAAAAACAAACAAACAAAUAUGGAGCAUUCUGAUAUGAAUAAGACACUUGCUCACUUCUCAAUUCCUUGGUGUCCAGGCUCCGGCACAAAUGAACCAUGUUCUUCGCCUAAGUCAUUUAUGGAACAUCUGCUUUCGGUUUAGCAUCAGCUUUGUGACCUAGUAAUAUCUUUCUCGAGUGCAUGAAACAUCUCAGAAAUGCAAACAUCAAGGAAGAUACUAAUCCUUUCUUCCAGUUUCUGUGUGAGGGUUGGAGGCUGACUUUGGUGGUGAUCUUGCUCCAAAUUAUAGAACUACAUCCUGUCAUGAAGAGAAGUUUGUCUUCUCGAUAAAGCCAAGUAGCUAACAGAGAUGGUCACCCCAAUUACCAGAUGGACAUAAUUAUACUUGAAUGCUGACCUACAACAUUUUGUGCUGUGCAGAGGCUUUGAAAAUCAAACAACUUUGAAAAUACAAAGCACCGCGUGGAUGUAAGUUUAUUAAAUUUUGUUUUCAUCAACA
rnacentral:lncRNA from 1 species